AAUUCAAAGCUAAAUUAAGGUAAAUAUAAUUUGUUAGCAGAACAUUUCUUUUGUGCAUCAUUUGCGAAAGUGAGAAAGUGUGAAAAUAUGAUGUUGUUAGUGACGGAUUUAGCUUAAAUGAGAUGAAGAUGGAUAUUUUAUUCUGCAGAUGUUUAAAAUGAAAUUUGUGCUUUUAAGAUGUGGCAAAAAUGACAGUGUACGUCCACUACUGUAAAUUUUUUGUCCAUGUUUAGUGGACAAUUGAAAUGAACAAGUACGAUUCUGAAAGCGUCUGUUUUAGGAAAGUCUAUUUUCUAAGUCGAGUGAACUUGAUGGUUAAAGGAAUAGUUUGCACUAAAAUCGGUUCUGUCAUGUUGUUUUAGGCAGCUCUUUAUUUUUUAACAUCAUUCCCGUAGUAUCAUAAUGGUAGUCCAUGCAACUUGUGCACUAAUCCAAGCCAACAGAAGUCACAUUUUACUUUAUUUGAGUAAGACACCGAAGUUUAGGUUGUUUGGUUUUUUUUUUUCACGUUCAUGUGCAGAAUUCAAAAUUAGCUUGUUGUGUUCGGACACAUGUGAACCAGCGCCAUUUUGCCAUCAAAUACUUGGAAACGCCAUUUCAUUUUUUGUUGUUGUUAUCAGUCCUUUUUGGAUUACUCAGAGAAGUCUACUUUGUGCUCGAAAAGAAAUAAACCUGCAGCGUUCAGGGUUUCGAAAUGUUAAAGUGAACAUUUAAUGCAAACCUUUAAAGCAACCAAAUGAAUGUUUGAUGGAAAGAAGAACUAAAAAUAAAUCCACUGUUCAGAAACUGUGUGGAAUUCAAAGUUUAAAAUACUUUUUCUGCAGAAAGUUGUGUUGUUCUGCUGUUUCCACUCGUUUUUCUUUCUUUCUGGUUGGAUCAUCUUAGUGUGUGUGUGUCUGUGUGUGUGUGUGUGUGUGUGUGUGAGAGAGAGAGAGAGAGAGAAAACACACUGAGUCUGCGCACUGGGGGAGGAGUAUCUAUGUCACACACACUCUCUCUCUCUCCGUCGUUCUCCUCCCGCUCCGUACUUGCAGUUUUUCCACCCUCCCACUUCUCUCUCUCUCUUUCUCUCUCUCUCAAGUGCAAGGCCAUGUGGGACGUCUGAUGAGGAGUUUCACCCCUCUACGUCUCCUGUUUCAUAUCUCUCUUUCCCUCUCUACUGUUCUUUCGCUUUCUGUACGGGUUCCUCGAGCUUAGCUGUUUUUGCAAGGUGGAGAUCCGCUGGAGACUAGUUUAGAGAGUGUAAGGGGGGAAAAAGGGGAAAGAAAAAAGCUUUUUUUUUUUUUUUUUACAGCGAGGGCCUCCUGACUAGAGCGCGAAAGAGGCUCCACCACAAGCCUGCUAACACGCUCCCAGAUUUCCAUGAGCGUCUGAGUCCACCUUGACCCGCAGCCCACGCCAGCGCAACGCAAGGCCAAAAACCUUCUGGAUUUGCCAUUUGGAAGUAUUGACCUGCGACUUUCCCGUUCCCAAUGUAUUCGGACAGGGGAUUCCGGAGUGAAGCUGCUCCGCUCUGGGACAAGUGCCAAUUGCUCACAAAAGGCGAGUGAAAAUAUCACUGAUCUCAACAAGGAAACGUCGGGGGUGAGUGGAAAACACAAAUUUGCAUGCGUCCGUGCAACUAACACAGAAAAAAGUGAAGGAUGGUUGCAAGGGGAGGGGAAGACAGAGAAAAAGAGGAUUGUAAAAGAGGAGGUGGGGGCGUUUAUUCAAUCCUGCUUGAUGCUCCUCGGGCCUUCGAGAGCCGAUUGCAUGUGCUGUGGUAACUGCGGGACCAUUUGCAUGUGGCAGACACGCUAAUUGUGUGUUUGCUAACACGCACCAUUCAGUGAGACGCGCUCCGGUCCGCAGACGGGGUUCACACACGCCUCCCAGACGCCCUGGUGGCCUCCUAUUGUUCCAGAGGCCCAGCCGAGCAGCCGGAGAGCCUAACCAGAGCCCAGCGCUGUCCUGACGAGAGGGGAAACUGGAAUUGGAGACCAGACGGGAUAGCGAAACAGGACGGACUCUCUUUCUCCCCGCAGCGAGAAAAAAAGAGGCCUGUAGAAAGCAUUGCCUCCGGACGCUGACGUCCUCGCAGAUGUGUGCAAAAGUAAAGUUUGAAAUGGACUAAACAAGAUGCACCCCUGCACAGGAACUUGACAAACAUGGCCACUAUGAAUCAUCAUUACAUGGAAAGAGCAGAAAGAAGAAAUUCUCCUGAAGUGUUUGACGCACAUGCGGGUGAGUGUGUGUGUGUGUGUGUGUGUGUGUGUGAGGCUGCUGGCGUGGCGUGGGGUACAGUACACGUUCUGCUGGCAGAGGUUAGCGCUCCGCUUUAAUAACAGGAUGCAGCUGCUCUCCUUCAUGAAUACAGCAGACUGACUCGGACCAGAGACACCGACCAUAAGUCUUUCCUGGCCUGUCACUAAAACACUUAUUCACAUUGUAUCAGUUACAGGGAACUAAGGUUAACAAGCCUAGUUUGGCCCAAGAGCAGUUCAAUUAAGGUUACGCCGAGUCGCUGGUGGAGCAGCUUUGGCUGAGAGCCUCCAUUGGCCAUUGUCUCUCAGUUAUGACAAAUACGGUGAAGGUUUGGGGAAAUUAUGAACAAAUAAGGUGGAAACAGUUGCUGGAGUGAUAGCGCGGAGGAAAUCGGAGCGAGCCGGAUUCGUCUGGCUAUUGUUGGCCCUCAUUGACUGACCAUUACUCCACAUUCCUCUGCUCUUUGAAGUCUCUCUCUUU